rnacentral:lncRNA from 1 species
UGGACAAUGGCUUUUCUUUAGAAGUAGAAAGAGAUGUCUUUGCAUGUACUGAAUAGGAGAAAUGUCUAGGAGAAAGGUGUCUAUCACCAAUCCUGCCACAGCAUAUCUCUGUCUGUAACACGUAACACUGGCUCAACACAACUACACAAGAACUAGUGGGAUGGAACCUCUUCAGACAUUUGCAGAGGUUUCUCAAGAGUUUUGAAGUGGUCCUGGAGAAGCAAUACCUGACAGAAACCAUAUCCUGAGUGCCUCCAACAAACUGCCCUAGUGCUGAGAUGUUAGUAUGCUUAGCCAUUAGAUCCAGAAAGUUCAGAAUUAGUCAUAUGGAACCAAGAAGUGCUUGAAAUCUAGUUGUGCAAAGUCCUUCACCAAAGGAAGACAGAGACACCAUUGCAUCUGAGGAACCACAAUCACCUCCAUUCAUUCCUUUCUGAAGAACCUAAAGGCCAUGUAGAGUCCUAACAGUGUAACUUUGUACCAGUAAUGGUCCAGGCUUAUUGUGAACUAGAUGUAUUGCUUAUGUAAUGACUGAAUCAACAAUUCAAAAAUAAACACCCUGAAGUCUGAGAGACUUUAACAAGUUUUGCUUUUGGAAGCACUGCUAAAAUUUUAGAAUGUCUUGGCUCAGAACAUAACUCCUAAGACCAAGAUGAGUCUGGUAUUUUUUACCCAAAAUGUUUCAGGAAAAAGUAGGUUAAAGUAACUGGAGAAAAUAUUUGUCUCUUGGCACACUCUCACAUUCCAUUCCCCAACAAUGGGAUACAAACAACAGAUGAAGAAGCAGCAUUUGGUGCCCUGCUGUUUUCUUCUUGGGAGCUAUUGGUAUACAAGACUGCUUUUCUACACUGAAGACAAGGAUCUCAGUGCAGAGCAGACAACAUAAUUCUGAGAUGAGUCUAAGUGAAGUUAAGUGGCCAAAGAACAGACAGAAGUUAUCAUCAGGAAGGAGAAGCAAAUAAUAACUACAAAUGAGUAUAAAAUGAAAAAUGUAGCCCAUGCCAGCAAGGGUCACUGCAGAUAACUUGGAUGAGAACUGAUAAAAUUAGUAUAAAGGAUGAGAACUGAUAAAAUUAGUAUAAAAGAUUUUCUCUGAAAAUGUUUCUGAUGCCAAAUUCCAGUAAGAAAUAGGCAAAACUGUAUGCUAAAAACUGUCUUUUGUUCUAUUUCAGAAGAGUAUUUGGGAGUCAGAGAUCUCUAGAAAUACAUCUACAAUGUGAAUAUUGAAAUCUACAAUUAGAAUAAGAACCAAGAAAUUUAAAUGACAACAGCAGAGAUAGGAACAAUUUCCUAACUUUGUU